rnacentral:ncRNA from 2 species
CGCACACCUAUUCUGCACGGUUCCUUGACAGGUGCGAAGCGCCUUGAGGAUGAAACUGGGAAUGUGGACGGGCCGAUCCAAUCCGGAGGCCCAAAGCCACAGCCGCCCCCGCGACUGUAUGCGCAGAGCAGGUGCCAAUAACGCCACUGGGACAAUCCCGGGAAGGCAGGCACUCGCAUAGACACGCAAGCCAGGAGACCGGCCGCGCUGAAACGAAACAA